rnacentral:lncRNA from 1 species
CUGCAAGAUUUUCAUUCUCAUAUUCUGGAUAUUUCUACGCUUCGAGUGUGAAACGUCACUUUCACGUCAACAUCCCUUCUUCGAAUUACUCGCCUCACAAGACUUCUUCAACUGUGUUUACAAAUAUACAAGGCAGCCGAAUAGAUCGAGGUAACCGAGUUUCUUCAAGGUUGCUUGAUCCGCCCUCUCAUAAUAAUCUUACGCAAGCGUGGAGGGUGAAACCGUGGCCUGGUAUCCAGGGGUGGAUUAUUACGUGGAAGCUCUAUUCCAGAAUUUCAAGCGUUCAAGGUUGAUUUAUCGAACUUGACGGACUUUUACGAACGCUCGUUCAAAAGCGAAUCGAUCCAGUGGCACGUGUUCCAGAGAAGGGAAAAUGGAUCGAUGGAAGCAAAGGUAUAAUAAAGACAAAUUUCUGAUAUAUAAUUCGUGAUAAUCGUUGGCAUUACACAUGACGAAAGGAAUCCAGUGAAUUUGAAGUGCAAGGGAAAUUGUAUUGUUAUGAACAAUUAGCUUGAUUAUUGCACUUCUAUUGGAAUAUUGAAUUAUUGGAACGAUUCAUUUUGAAACUUUGCUGAAACUUGGAAAUUGUUUCAACAAUUUUACGUAACUCAAACUAUUUCGAAAUGUCAAAUUCGAAAAGAAUGUUUAAAGGAUUCUAUCGAUUCUAUCGAGAAAUAAUGUCUCUCCUCUAAUGAUUCAAAAAAUUGUAAAUCUUGACCAUUGCUGCAGCAAACAAGGUGCAUAUUAUUUAUAUUUUUAUUAUUAUAUGAUGAAAUUUUUAUAACACAUUUGAUUAGAUUAGAUCCAUAACAAAUUUUUCUUCAAAUUAAAUCAAUAUCCAACAAGUUGAUCGAAGAUUGAUACUCUUUUAUAUCUCGUUUUUAAUAUCCUCCUCCAGCUGAUUAGACUUGUAACUUAUUUUCCCCACUUUAUCAGAUUUUUUAUUCGCCUAUUUAUUCCAUCUAUAAUUAGAUGUAUAUAUUACUGGACGUAAUUGCAUCAAUCAUGCCGAGGAUUGCAAAUAUUUUAACCUUUUGUACAUUCCAUGGAUCGGUAUGAAAAUAUAUCUUGUUAUCGGGCAAUUAUCUUUUUUUAUCUAAUAAAAGAAACGAAGGUAGAAAGAAGAAGUUAGUUAACCAUGUUCCAUUACUAUUCCAUUAGAACUUCCUGCGAUCGUAUUCAUUGGAAUUACACUGAAACUACGACCUUCCUGUUAUCCACGAUAUAUACACACAAUCCUCUCCUCGUACUUCUAGUUACCUUUUAGUUGGUUGGGGGUUGAGGCGGGCAUACUGUAAUCUCGAGGCAAAUUUCGAGGAAAUGAAAGAUCCGGCAGUGAUACAAAAGUCGCAACAACGAGGAAUGUUAUUACGAGGAGGUAUAAACCACUUUGAUUUCUUCUUAUCGGAUCAACGAAUUCGAAACACGAAGAAUUACGAUCCAUGGGAAUUAAAGGGAAAUACCGAUGGGCACAAAGGAAUGUAAUUAAAUUGCUUGCUUGUGACAAAGUAUGGUCAAGUUUUGAUUUGAAAAGUUUUACCUUGUGUUAGUGAAAAUUCUUCUUUGAAAUUAAUUAGCUCAAGCUUUUAAUCAUUUUAAACAGAUAAAGUUUCAUGAAUUUAUAGACAGGAUGUUGAUCGAUUGAUCGAUAAAUAUAUGCGUGUCGAUGUCAAGGUUGAUUAUAUAUAUUUUCUUCUUAACUCGAACCAACAAUUUAUGGUAAAAGUAGGAAAGUAUAUGGUUUUUUCUUUCUUAGCAUCCUCGUUCAAUGUUUAAUUGAAAUUUUUCUUCAUUAAAAUGUUUCUGAAACUGUAUUGGAAAAUGGAAGAUGUAAGAGAUCCGUUUAACUUUCAUUCAAAGAAACGUUGUAUUAUAAUAAUAUCUUUACGGAAGAAUUAUAAUAUUCUUUUGAAUUUCAUUCUUUUUGUUCGAAAUUGCACGUACAUAAAUUCUUAUUGUUGGAAUAAUCAUAAAUUAUUUUUAUAUAAAAGGAAAUGUAUGUAAGUUAUUAUCCCUUUAUCUUAGCUCGCAUAAUACGAGAGAAACCUUUGACCUUUCACCACUUUGAGAAGAAACAUCAAAAAAAAAAAAAAAGAUAGGAAAUCGAACUAUGGUUCGUUGAACUCGAUCGACGUGGAAAACGUGAUCCAUAGAUUGUGUGGUUCCUUGUUGUGCCGAUGUCAUCGAACUUCGUGGCAGUGAUUCUGACCUCGCUUUCACUGGAGAACAUUUUGCAAUGGACCAACAGAUACUUUUCUUUUCUUCCAAAUUACAAAUUCUUUCCUUUAACCUUCUUUUCUUUUUUUAUUCUUCAAUAAUAAAAAUAACUUUUCACUAUUAAUUUGUAAUUUACGAUUUCUAUAUUAUUCAUUAUAAUUAUUUUUGAAUAUGCAUAUCCAUGAAACACUGGAUAUAGUACUAAAUGACAUCAUUAAUCAAAGGAGGCACAUGACAAUAUAGGUUCAUUUUAUCUAUUUAAUCACAAUGAAUGCAGAUUUAUCUUUUCGUUUUUUUUUUUUUCGUAUCAAAUUGAAAUUUGAUUGUAAAAGAUGCGAGACGUAGAAUAAAGAAGUUAUCAAGAUUUUGUAACUCUGGGCAACAUUCUAUUUUUCCUUAACUAGAUUAAUACUAGCCGGUCCAAUUAGAAGAGACGACACGACCUGGAAAACCAAUUGACCCAAGUCCAAUAAAACGUUGACACGUGCGUGACGAAAAGUGUGACGUGCCCCGUCAAAAGUAUCCGUCAAUUACGUAAUUGGUUACACACAUGUUCAGGUGAUCCUCCUUUUCAUCCAUCAAUUUCUAAGUAUAUCGCUUUAAAUUAAUUAGAAAAAUUUACACUCUGAAUUCAUUCAAACAUUCUCGAAUCAAUAUUGAUAAUACACUUCGACACGCUUUAAUCGGACAAAUAAAAUAACCUUCGAUAUUGUGGAUACAAUCAUCAAAAAAAACAUUUGCAUCAAAAUCAGAAAGAAUUUCCCUUUAUCGAAAUAUCUCGCAAAUUUCCAAUAAUAAUUUUAAACAAAAUUCCUUUCCCAAAGAAGAUAUCGAUCCUUAAUUUCCUCCUCCUUUCGUUCCUCCUGAAUGAAUGAAAAUUGAUCUCUCUCGUGUCCUAAGAAGAUCUUUUUUAUUUCCCUUGUGUGAGAAUCUUCUCGUUCCAUUCUCCGAAAAAUCCUCGCGGUAUCCAGACACGUUUCAUUAUACCACGGAGGAGAGAUUAUUUACUAUGUGAAGCGGACGAGAUGGAGCGUGGGUCAUCGUGGUUCCUCGAGGUUAACUCGUUUAACCUUUCCCUACCGCUCGAGAGCCUCGAGAAGAAGGAGAGAAAAAGGAAGGAGGAUGCGGGAUCUGGCCGAUUCGUCCCGGUUCGGUUCGAUCGCGAACCUCCUCGACUUCCUCGAGUUUUCGAGGACAACGAUAUCUCGCAAGUACAUCGGGAAGAUAGAAGUCAAACGUAUCGUCACGAUCCAGUUACUCGACCCACUCGAUCCGGAUAAUGCACCGUGCAACCGUUGCCGUUCCGGGAGGUCGUGGCAGAUUUCAGACAACCUCUCGUUCUGGCCGAGUUUUAAGAGACUCGUGACCGGUCCCUGUUGGUCAACUCCUCCGUGUCCUUUCACGCCAAUACGAAUUGCCUGCCUUUCCGUCACGAUUCUUGGCCAAUGAAAACUUUUAUCAAGUUUGACAGUGUUGCUUCACAUUUGGGCUCGCUUUGUUGCUCGUUCAUUUUUUGGAAAAUUUUUAAUUUUACGAUGCAUGGUUGCAUGGGAAGUGGAAUAUUUCUUUCUUUUUUCUUCUUUAAUCAAUUGUCUCUUACGUCGUUCAAUGCGUAUAUAAUGUAUAUAACGUAAAGGAAAGUUACGUAAAGUAAAGAGAGGAUUAUACUUUUUAAAGUAUAGUAUAAAGAACUUUGAACUUGUUACUUUAUGAGAAAUUUUUUUCCACACUUUUAGAAUUUAAGAAGUUUAUUUUUCCACUUAAAAUAUUUCUACACAUUAUAUAUAUUCCUUCGAAACGAAAAACUUUUGUUGUGCAGAUAAAGAGUAUAUUUUUCGUAAAUAUAUAUAUAUAUAUAAUCUUAUUAAAAUAAAAAAAUGAAUAAAUUGUGUAUCUCUUGAGCACGUAAACAGGAAUUCAGGAGAGAGAGAGAGAAAAUUAUUUUGCCAUUACAUAUAUAAUAUAUAUAUAUUAUAUUUCCAUAUAAUAUAUCGAUACAUGUACAUCCACCUUCGAUGAUACGACAACAUCCAUUAUUGUAUUGUUUCGUUUAUAAUUAUAAUAUACAUAGAGGUGAGUUUAAAAUUUGAAUAGGAGAGAUAUUUAUCUAUCGUAUCUUUAAACCGCGAUUCUCUCUAAUUUUUUCAGGAAUUAUUUUUAAUUUAAUAUAUAUAUAUAUAUUUUUUUUCGUUCGAUUAUUCUAAUCGGCCGUGAUCAUCCUCGACGAACGAUGAACGAAAAAGAAAUCGAUAAAACUGACUAGAGCAAAAAUAACCGAUCAGAGAUCGGUAUACACUAGCUAUGCCUAUAAAAAUUUUGCUAUCGAAUUCAUCGAUCCUUCCCAAUUUUCAAAUCAUCAUCCCAUCGAAGAGGAUUACAGCCUGUUUUAUUUAGCAUAGAAUCGAGCCUGAUCAAAAAAUUUAUUCCUUAUUAUAACUUCGUCCGUCUGAGCUAACAUUAGUUUUAUACAAUUUUUAUAUCAUUGGUGUUUAAUUAUAUCAAAAUAAUGCGGAUAAAUAUAUCUCUCUCGCGAGUAACAGAAAGAUUUUGCAACGAUUGAAUGAAAUUUGGAAAAAGAAAAUAAAUAUCAUGGAUCAAGUUAAGACCACUGGAAUUUUAAUUUUCAAAAAUUGUUUUUAUAUAUAUAUAUAUAUAUAUGUAUGUGUGUAUAGCGAUCUCUUUGCGCUCAGACAUCUCUUCUUCUCUCAAGGGAUUCACAAUUUAUCGUUACACCGUUCGUUCGUAUUUAUUAUCAUCGUGUUACAGCGGAAUAUAAUUCUUAAAACGUAUGGACCGCUUUGUUAAUUCCCGUAAUUUUAUUCUCUAUUCCACGUCUCUCGCGGAGAAUAAAAUGAACAUCGAGGAAGAUAAGUAAAUUCUCAGUCCGAUCUUCGUUCGUUCGUUUCUUCUAUUACGCUUCGUUUUAUCGUUUGGGGUUUUCGUUUUGACUGAUAAAUUGCGCAAGGCCUCGAAGUAAGUAAGGUUUUCAACUCAAGGUAGAAAUAAAAAAAAA